GCAUUUCCACUUCCACUUCCAUUUCAGAUUCAGAUUCAUAUUAAUUUUGAUUCUCAUUUCAGUUUGUUAUUGUUUUUUGCCCGGGCGGUGCUCUUUCUGCACUGCAGUUUCAUUGCACUGCAGUUCCCCAAUAAACAAUGGCAUCUGUGCAACUAUUACAACUACUAUUCAUAAGAAGGGGUCUAAUCAGGGUGGUGGUAUGAUGUGGGCCAAACAAAAACACUUUUGAUAAUAGAAAAAUGCAGUGCGAAUCGUGGCUGCAAUGUGUUCACGGAAGUAAUUUCGUUCUAAGUGGCCUCAAGGUGCGACCAUUGGCUCUGUGAAUCCUCAUCGCAUCUCGAACAGUCAGGGCCAAGUUGUCAGGGAUUUAAUAUUAAUACUAUAUCUAUCAUAGCAAGUUCGAACUGUCUGUAAGUCGGACCAUGUAUAUACGGACAGUACGGACAAGUCCUUUGAUAAGUUUGCACAUUCGAACUGCUAUUCGCGUGACCCCCGCUGUUCAUUCACAUGCAUGGCUGGCAAGGUCGCCAUUUUCGAGCGUGCCAAGUGGUUGACGAUUUCACGUUGUGGAAAUGUUCUUAAAUUCGGUUGCACUCAUUCACAGCUGCUCGAGUUUCUCUGUUUACAAUGUAAACACGUGCUGUGCGAAAUAACACACCGAAACGAGCGAAAGAGAAAGGUAAUUUCGUGGGGUGAAAGGGAGAAAAGAUAGCGCGAGAUACGAGACAUUGCGUAUACGCAUCGUUGGCCAUCUGCGGAGGGCACGUGAAUGAAGCGUGUUUUGGGCGGGUAUAAAAAUAGCCAGGCGGGCGAGAAAAUUGUGUUAUUAUAUUAACGUCAUUCUGGGGAACAUCAGCAGCUCUCCUCAAGAAUUUCAGCAAGGCCGAACCAUCCUACAAAUUAUUUCUGAGGGCGGAGUUAUUGUUGUUGAAUAAAAUGAACAAUUACGACAGCGGCAGUUAUGAGCAGCAAGCUGCACGAAUCGGCAGACAUUUUUGUUAUGAAGGAGAGUAAUCUGUUUUUGUUGAGCGGAAGGCACUUGCAAAGCAAUUAAGAUGCAACGUGUAUUACGAAUAAGGAUUUAACUGAGCAGGAACAAGUUACUAAAAGUGUCAUCAUGCCGAAGAUCUUAUACACUGCCUUUCAAAUUACCCAUUGAUUAAAUAUAAAAUUGAGUAUGUCA